rnacentral:rRNA from 1 species
GUGCAUGGCUGUCGUCAGCUCGUGUCGUGAGAUGUUGGGUUAAGUCCCGCAACGAGCGCAACCCUUGUCAUUAGUUGCCAUCAUUAAGUUGGGCACUCUAAUGAGACUGCCGGUGACAAACCGGAGGAAGGUGGGGAUGACGUCAAGUCAUCAUGCCCCUUAUGACCUGGGCUACACACGUGCUACAAUGGACGGUACAACGAGAAGCGAACCUGCGAAGGCAAGCGGAUCUCUUAAAGCCGUUCUCAGUUCGGACUGUAGGCUGCAACUCGCCUACACGAAGCUGGAAUCGCUAGUAAUCGCGGAUCAGCACGCCGCGGUGAAUACGUUCCCGGGCCUUGUACACACCGCCCGUCACACCAUGAGAGUCUGUAACACCCAAAGCCGGUGGGAUAACCUUUAUAGGAGUCAGCCGUCUAAGGUAGGACAGAUGAUUAGGGUGAAGUCGUAACAAGGUAGCCGUAGGAGAACCUGCGGUUGGAUCACCUC